CACCCUAUCGUCCAGUGGCCUAGGACACUCCCCUUUCACGGGAGUAACACGGGUUCGAAUCCCGUUAGGGUGGCCA
rnacentral:tRNA from 1 species